rnacentral:rRNA from 1 species
CCUACGGGUGGCAGCAGUGAGGAAUAUUGGUCAAUGGACGCAAGUCUGAACCAGCCAUGCCGCGUGCAGGAAGACGGCUCUAUGAGUUGUAAACUGCUUUUGUACGAGGGUAAACGCAGAUACGCGUAUCUGUCUGAAAGUAUCGUACGAAUAAGGAUCGGCUAACUCCGUGCCAGCAGCCGCGGUAAUACGGAGGAUUCAAGCGUUAUCCGGAUUUAUUGGGUUUAAAGGGUGCGUAGGCGGUCGGAUAAGGUAGAGGGGAAAUCCCGAGGCUCAACUUCGGAAUUGCCGCUGAUACUGUUCGGCUAGAGCGUAGUUGCGGUAGGCGGAAUGUAUGGUGUAUCGGUGACCUGCUUAGCGCUCAUACAGAACCCCGAUUGCGAAGGCAGCUUACCAAGCUACUUCUGACGUUGAGGCACGACCGCGUGGUGAGCACACAGGAUUAGAUACCCCAGUAGUC